UACGUAGGGGGCGAGCGUUGUCCGGAUUUAUUGGGCGUAAAGAGCUCGUAGGCGGUUUGGUAAGUUGGAUGUGAAAUCUCCAGGCUCAACUUGGAGGGGUCAUUCGAUACUGCCAUGAGUAGAGUUCGGUAGGGGAGUGUGGAAUUCCUGGUGGAGCGGUGAAAUGCGCAGAUAUCAGGAGGAACACCCGUAGCGAAGGCGGCACUCUGGGCCGGAACUGACGCUGAGGAGCGAAAGCGUGGGGAGCGAACAGG
rnacentral:rRNA from 1 species